rnacentral:misc_RNA from 1 species
UUUCCGUGGGUGAACCUGCGGAAGGAUCAUUAUUGUAUAACCGAGGUGCGAGGGCUGUCGCUGACCCGAAAGGUCGUGCACGCCCGAGUGCCCUCACACGCAUCCAUCUCACCCCUAUGUGCACCACCGCGUGGGUCCCCCUUUGGCUUGUUCGGAGGGGGGCUUACGUUUUCACACAAACUUUGUAUGCAGUGUAGAAUGUAUUUUUUGUUUUUGCGAUCACGCAAUCAAUACAACUUUCAACAACGGAUCUCUUGGCUCUC